rnacentral:rRNA from 1 species
UGCCUAAUACAUGCAAGUCGAGCGGGGUUAGUUAGAAGCUUGCUUCUAACUAACCUAGCGGCGGACGGGUGAGUAACACGUAGGCAACCUGCCCACAAGACAGGGAUAACUACCGGAAACGGUAGCUAAUACCCGAUACAUCCUUUUCCUGCAUGGGAGAAGGAGGAAAGGCGGAGCAAUCUGUCACUUGUGGAUGGGCCUGCGGCGCAUUAGCUAGUUGGUGGGGUAAAGGCCUACCAAGGCGACGAUGCGUAGCCGACCUGAGAGGGUGAUCGGCCACACUGGGACUGAGACACGGCCCAAACUCCUACGGGAGGCAGCAGUAGGGAAUCUUCCGCAAUGGGCGAAAGCCUGACGGAGCAACGCCGCGUGAGUGAUGAAGGUUUUCGGAUCGUAAAGCUCUGUUGCCAGGGAAAAACGUCUUGUAGAGUAACUGCUACAAGAGUGACGGUACCUGAGAAGAAAGCCCCGGCUAACUACGUGCCAGCAGCCGCGGUAAUACGUAGGGGGCAAGCGUUGUCCGGAAUUAUUGGGCGUAAAGCGCGCGCAGGCGGCUCUUUAAUUCUGGUGCUUAAUCCCGAGGUUCUACUUUCCGGUUCCCCCCUGGAUACUGCCCAGCUUGAUGCAAAAAACGAAAGUGUACUAU